GAUGAAGAACGUAGCGAAAUGCGAUAAGUAGUGUGAAUUGCAGAAUUCAGUGAAUCAUCGAAUCUUUGAACGCACAUUGCGCCCAUUAGUAUUCUAGUGGGCAUGCCUGUUCGAGCGUCAUUAAUUCCACUUAAGCCCUGCUUAGUGUUGGGAAUCUACUCUAGUGGUGCUACCCUGGAGCUACCCCUGAAAGGGGGCUGGCCCGGUAGCUACCCUGUAGUUCCUCAAAGAUAGUGCGCGGAGUUGCGUGGUCCUCUGAGCUUAGUAACUAUACACCUAGCUUUUGAGUGUCCCGCGGCGCCUGCCGUUUAAACCCCAUCUUUUAAUGGUUGACCUCGGAUCAGGUAGGAAUACCCGCUGAACUUAAGCAUAUCAAUAAGCGGAGGA
rnacentral:misc_RNA from 1 species